CCCUUAGAUGUUCUGGGCCGCACGCGCGCUACACUGAUGCAUUCAACGAGCCUAUCCUUGACCGACAGGUCCGGGUAAUCUUUGAAUCUGCAUCGUGACGGGGAUAGAUUAUUGCAAUUAUUAAUCUUCAACGAGGAAUGCCUAGUAGGCGCAAGUCAUCAGCUUGCGUCGAUUACGUCCCUGCCCUUUGUACACACCGCCCGUCGCUCCUACCGAUUGGGUGGGCUGGUGAAAUGUUCGGAUCGGCCGUUUGUCGCGGUUUCCGCGGCUCGUGGCUGAGAAGUUCAUUAAACCCUCCCACCGAGAGGAAGGAGAAGUCGUAACA
rnacentral:rRNA from 1 species